rnacentral:lncRNA from 1 species
AGAGCAAUAUUUUUACAAUUAUUUAGGUAUAAAAAAAUAUCAAAUUAGAUUUGCAAAAUCUCACAUUAUUUUUUUUAGGUAUAAUAAUGCAAAUAUUUUGGUUAGCCUAAUCAAAGUAAAGGAAAAUCUCAAUUAUAGAUAUUGGUUCAAAUGAGGAAAAAUAUUUGCAAAGAAGGGAGGUCGUUAAAUAAUUAUAAGAGUAACAAAAUUUUGUCUAUAGCCAGUAGAUAACCGAAUUUAAAAAACAUUUCUUAUAUUUUCUUAUCUAUUUGUCGCACUCUAUCAGUAAUACUAAACCAUUCCCUUCUUUUUUGGGCUAAAUCCUGAUAUGCAACAACUUCUUCUUCAUCUUUUUCUGCAAAUGGUUGGAUUUUUCAACCAGUGAGAUUUUGUAACGGCCCCGGAAAUUUGAAUUGAAAUGUAUGUAUUAAAAAUCUCAAAUGCGGAAGCGUAAUAAAAAUUUUGAUUAACAUCCCUUACACAAUAACCAAAACGUACUCAAAACAUAAAGGAACAAACUAACUAAAAGAGAUACUUGAAAUAAGAACUAUAAAUAUAACUAUGAAGUCUUUAGGCGUCCCCUUCGCUGUCUUCUUGCGGAACGGGCUCGAGAACAAUGUCUUCCUGAUCUGAAAUGGUUAAAUAAGGAAUGAGCUACACCAGCCUAGUAAAAACAUCAUACUAUCUCACCGCCACGGAAGUAAAGGUGGGUAGAAAAUAAAAAUGACCAAUGGAGCAUAAUUUAUAACAAACUCGUUUAUUAACAUAAAAACCUUUACUGUCCACUUACCUCGGUGAGAUCUAUGAAAACAACAUAUGAAAGCAAUAACAUUAUCAUCAUCAUGAAAUCAUAUAGACUUUAUAACAUAACACUUACCAUGCCUUUGCAUUUCAAUUAUUAAACAACAUAUUUUCCUCUUUUACCAGCCUACUAGUAUCUAUGGGGACCCAUAGGGGGUCCCCGCUACACGUGAACCAU